rnacentral:SRP_RNA from 1 species
UAUUGGUCUCUUCGCGACGAUAUGUGGUGAACCCCGCCAGGUCCGGAAGGAAGCAACGGUAGCUACAGAUGCGGGCGCCGAAGUCAGGCUGGUAUUU